rnacentral:tmRNA from 1 species
GGCUUGAGAUGUUCGGGGGCGAGUCAGCCAGAUAAACCUGAACUAGCUGGCCUUAAAUCCUGCAUCAGGGAGUUAUUAACAGCGAACAAGGAUGAAGAAUCCAAGAAAGCUGAUGACAAGCAUGUAGUAGCUUCUAUUGAGAUGCUUUCGGACGCGGGUUCGAUUCCCGCCACCUCCACCA